GGGCCCAUAGCUCAGUUGGUUAGAGCAGAGGACUCAUAAUCCUUUGGUCCCAGGUUCGAGUCCUGGUGGGCCCACCA
rnacentral:tRNA from 2 species